AAUCUAAAUAAAAAUUGAAGAACUGAUUAAAAGAGAUCGUAUAAACUCAUUUUCUGAUAAACUAAUCCAAAACAACCUUUUUUUUGGAAUCAUCUAUUACAAAAUCAACCGAUUUCAAGAAAUACUUGGAGUCACGGCACUAUCGCGGGGCAAGCACAAACCAGCACGAAAGGAGAACCCACCGGAACUUUUUAACGUCUUCCAGUAACCCCUUUCCUUUGUCUACCAUCAUAGCUAAUAAUCUGUAUUAUGCAAAAAAACACAAUCGAUCAAGACUCGUCCAGAUAUAAAAGUUUAUAUUUUAAAAUUACUAAAUAAGUCAUGCAUCGGAUUCAAAUUGGAAAAUCCUACGUUCUCCUAUAUCUUAUAUAAAAAAAAAAAAUUCACAAAAACUUUUUAGUCUGAAGUAUUUUUAAAAUCUAUUUCCAUUUCUAUGACGAAAUCAUUUAUAUGUAAAAAUAAAUAGGUUUUAAC
rnacentral:sRNA from 1 species